rnacentral:rRNA from 1 species
CCUACGGGUGGCAGCAGUGAGGAAUAUUGGUCAAUGGACGAGAGUCUGAACCAGCCAAGUAGCGUGAAGGAUGACUGCCCUAUGGGUUGUAAACUUCUUUUAUAUGGGAAUAAAAUGUUCCACGUGUGGGAUUUUGUAUGUACCAUAUGAAUAAGGAUCGGCUAACUCCGUGCCAGCAGCCGCGGUAAUACGGAGGAUCCGAGCGUUAUCCGGAUUUAUUGGGUUUAAAGGGAGCGUAGGUGGAUUGUUAAGUCAGUUGUGAAAGUUUGCGGCUCAACCGUAAAAUUGCAGUUGAAACUGGCAGUCUUGAGUACAGUAGAGGUGGGCGGAAUUCGUGGUGUAGCGGUGAAAUGCUUAGAUAUCACGAAGAACUCCGAUUGCGAAGGCAGCUCACUGGACUGUAACUGACGCUGAGGUUCGAAAGCGUGGGUAGCAAACAGGAUUAGAUACCCCUGUAGUC